rnacentral:RNase_P_RNA from 1 species
UGAGUCGGCCGGGUGGCCGCGCCACGGGUCCGUCCUCGGACGGGGACCGUGGCGAGGAAGGUCGGGGCUCCACAGGGCAGGGUGCUGGCUAACAGCCAGUCGGGGUGACCCGAAGGAAAGUGCAACAGAGAGCAGACCGCCGAUGGCGGGCGCAAGUCCGCACAGGCAAGGGUGAAACGGUGCGGCAAGAGCGCACCAGCGGUCGGGGUGACCCGGCCGGCUCG